UCUUACGGGACGCAGCAGUGAGGAAUAUUGGGCAAUGGGCGCAAGCCUGACCCAGCAAUGCCGCGUGAAGGAAGAAGGCUUUCGGGUUGUAAACUUCUUUGACAGGGGAAGAGCAGAAGACGGUACCCUGAAAACAAGCCACGGCUAACUACGUGCCAGCAGCCGCGGUAAUACGUAGGUGGCAAGCGUUGUCCGGAUUUACUGGGUGUAAAGGGCGUGUAGCCGGGAAGGCAAGUCAGAUGUGAAAUCCUGCGGCUUAACCGCAGAACCGCAUUUGAAACUGUUGAUCUUGAGUACUG
rnacentral:rRNA from 1 species